rnacentral:rRNA from 1 species
UACAGAGGUCUCAAGCGUUGUUCAGAUUCAUUGGCGUAAAGGGUGCGUAGGCGGCGCGGUAAGUCGGGUGUGAAAUCUUGGAGCUUAACUCCGAAACUGCAUUCGAUACUGCCGUGCUUGAGGACUGGAGAGGAGACUGGAAUUUACGGUGUAGCGGUGAAAUGCGUAGAUAUCGUAAGGAAGACCAGUGGCGAAGGCGGGUCUCUGGACAGUUCCUGACGCUGAGGCACGAAGGCCAGGGGAGCAAACGGG